rnacentral:rRNA from 1 species
UGAAGCCAAGCUUGCUUGGUGGAUCAGUGGCGAACGGGUGAGUAACACGUGAGCAACCUGCCCCGGACUCUGGGAUAAGCGCUGGAAACGGCGUCUAAUACCGGAUAUGAACCACAGCCGCAUGGUUGGUGGUUGGAAAGAUUUUUGGUUCGGGAUGGGCUCGCGGCCUAUCAGCUUGUUGGUGAGGUAAUGGCUCACCAAGGCGUCGACGGGUAGCCGGCCUGAGAGGGUGACCGGCCACACUGGGACUGAGACACGGCCCAGACUCCUACGGGAGGCAGCAGUGGGGAAUAUUGCACAAUGGGCGGAAGCCUGAUGCAGCAACGCCGCGUGAGGGAUGACGGCCUUCGGGUUGUAAACCUCUUUUAGCAAGGAAGAAGCGAAAGUGACGGUACUUGCAGAAAAAGCGCCGGCUAACUACGUGCCAGCAGCCGCGGUAAUACGUAGGGCGCAAGCGUUAUCCGGAAUUAUUGGGCGUAAAGAGCUCGUAGGCGGUUUGUCGCGUCUGCUGUGAAAACUGGAGGCUCAACCUCCAGCCUGCAGUGGGUACGGGCAGACUAGAGUGCGGUAGGGGAGAUUGGAAUUCCUGGUGUAGCGGUGGAAUGCGCAGAUAUCAGGAGGAACACCGAUGGCGAAGGCAGAUCUCUGGGCCGUAACUGACGCUGAGGAGCGAAAGGGUGGGGAGCAAACAGGCUUAGAUACCCUGGUAGUCCACCCCGUAAACGUUGGGAACUAGUUGUGGGGGCCAU